rnacentral:lncRNA from 1 species
AGAGCUGGAUGGCCUUGACUUGAAUUACAAUUGUGCAUCCAUUCUGUGCCUGGCUGCUAAACCUCGUAGCAGAUCUUUUGAUGUGUGUGCAUUUUCCCAGCUUGGAGAUUUUGCUGGCAAACUGCACGGUUGGCAGUAGGCACAGCGCUGGCCCUCUGCAGAGCUGGCAGGGAAUAGGGUAAUGUACUCAGCACCCACAGAGCCCAAAGUCACUUGAAAGAGACAAU